AGCCCCUCUGUUAUAAGUAAUGAGAAAUUUGCCUUCACAGAAACAGACGGAGUACAAGAAACCAUAAUUUAAAUUCUGGGCUCUCCUUAACUCAGAGACAAGUUCCCUUUACACAGACGAUCUGCUCGCCAAGCACAGGGACAAAGGAUCCUGAAAGUUCAGCUGACACCCCACUGGGAACAUGUGAGUUUGGCUCCCCAACCCUGCCUUUACCCAAGCACUCACCCUACAGCCCCAAGGAAGACCUGAUUCCUGGAGGGAGGCUGGCUCGGGGGCUUCAGCGGUGAAGACCUGUUUCCUCCUCUGCUUAGGGAGCCACGCUGGUCCCAUCAGAUGCCCUCACUGGUUAUGAGGGAGGUGGACCAUGGAGGGACGUGGUGGGAAGGGCAGGGCUCUGGCGUACCCGCACAGUGCUAGCGCUCAGCACAGCCAUGAUGCCACUCCCAGGGAGGCUCUGUGGGGCAUGCCAGGCACUAAGCCUGACAAGCAGAGGCAAGGACAGGCCAGACUCACACAGUGCUCUCGUUCCAAACCCCUCCACUGUUCUUCCUCAGGAAGCUUCCUGUUGAAAGAUAAAUGUUCUGUCUGUGAUCAGACAGAUUUAUAUUUGUUUUCUUUUCCUCCCAGGCCUGCGCCAGCCCAGACAGGUCAAAGGACAGGAUUCCAAGCCGUUGAGAUGAGAGCACUGCAGAGUUCCUGGAGAAUCCCCUAG
rnacentral:lncRNA from 1 species